rnacentral:rRNA from 1 species
UGAAUAGGGCGUUUAGUAUUUGGUCGUAGACCCGAAACCAGGUGAUCUACCCUUGGUCAGGUUGAAGUUCAGGUAACACUGAAUGGAGGACCGAACCGACUUACGUUGAAAAGUGAGCGGAUGAACUGAGGGUAGCGGAGAAAUUCCAAUCGAACCUGGAGAUAGCUGGUUCUCUCCGAAAUAGCUUUAGGGCUAGCCUCAAGUGAUGAUUAUUGGAGGUAGAGCACUGUUUGGACGAGGGGCCCCUCUCGGGUUACCGAAUUCAGACAAACUCCGAAUGCCAAUUAAUUUAACUUGGGAGUCAGAACAUGGGUGAUAAGGUCCGUGUUCGAAAGGGAAACAGCCCAGACCACCAGCUAAGGUCCCAAAAUAUAUGUUAAGUGGAAAAGGAUGUGGCGUUGCCCAGACAACUAGGAUGUUGGCUUAGAAGCAGCCAUCAUUUAAAGAGUGCGUAAUAGCUCACUAGUCGAGUGACACUGCGCCGA